rnacentral:rRNA from 1 species
UACGAGAGCCUCGAGCGUUAUCCGGAAUUAUUGGGCGUAAAGGGUGCGUAGGUUGUUCUGUUAGUCUUUUGUUAAAUCCCCGAGCUUAACUUGGGAGUCGCAAAAGAAACGGCAGGACUUGAAAGUGUGAGAGGCGUACGGAACUCAUGGUGUAGGGGUGAAAUCCGUUGAUAUCAUGGGGAACACCAAAUGCGAAAGCAGUACGCUGGCGCAUAUUUGACACUGAAGCACGAAAGCGUGGGUAGCGAAUGGG